CAAGGAGCGGCAGCCGCUGAAAUUAAUGAGCCAAACACAGAGAAGGGCAGGAAACAGGUAGAUCGUUCUUCCUGUGGAUCCAACACCCCUUCAAGUAGUGAAAUUGAGACAGAUGCUUUGGAGAAGGAUGAGAAAGAUAAAGAAGAGCCUCAAGAAUCUAAUACUAUCCUUAUAACCGGUGAAGCUGUGAAUCGGCGUGGUAGAAAUUUCAUCAGUCCAACUGAAUCUUGGAAAGAAGUCUCUGAAGAGGUAAUGAAAGCAUUAGUUCUUGUAAGUCCUUCAGUAACCUUUUCCUUUUCCUGCUUUAAUGAUUUCUGCUUCUCACCUUUUCCACAGGGGCGGAUAGCUUUCCAGGCUCUUUUCACCAGAGAAGUGUUGCCUCAAAGUUUUUCUCCUUCACUUGAACUGAAAAAUAAGGGAAAGAUCAUUCUUGAAAAGUUAAAG
rnacentral:lncRNA from 1 species